CCCCCUCCCCUUCUCACUGCUCUCUCCGGCCUCAGGUUCCAGGCACUUGGUCCCAAUGGCUCCAUGCCUGCUGGAAGAGAAGGAGGAAGACUCUUGGGCAGAGGGGCCCAUGUCUUCCAAUGAGCAUGUGCACCUUUUCUGAAACUCACCCCGUCCCUGCUAUAAACCAAAUGUUUGCGUUCGCCCCAAAGGGCCCUGAAGAUUUAGGGGAGUGAUGUAAGAAUGGAGAACCAUUGGAGACAUUUCACUGUGAGGAGAGCUACCUAUCUGCUUCCUGCCUGACUCCCAUCAUGUGGCCUGGCUGUCCAGCUUUUCCUUCUAGUCUCCAAGCAAUUCCACACCUUCCAACAGAUUCCGUCUCCCUCUUUUACGUUAGCCGGAAUGUGUUUCUGGUGCCGUCAACCAAAUGCAAAUAGACAUACACUUUGAGUGCAGCAGGCUGUGAGGUGGUUUCUGCUGCCAGAGGGGAGCAAAUGUAGAAAAGAAAAAGGGGGAAGGAUUAAGUGGUCCAGCCAGAGAUACCGUGGUGGCAAGGCUGGGAGAGGCUUCACUUGUUCGCAGAGCUUUUUUCUAAACUCUUCUAUCACUUCUUUCUUCUGCUGUCCCUGGGAAGUCUGAUCCCUCCCCAUAUUCUCAAGUAACACAACCCACGUGUGGUUCUGAGGUGGCAGAGAAAGCCCUUUAUCCAUGUUCAGCGAUGCUGCUGCUUCCUACCCUAGAGAGUAGUCAGAGACAGUUACUGCUGGGCUAGAUUUCUUUAGUCUCAUUUUUUAGGACUUCACUUUAAAAAAAAAAAAACAAUUGGAAGAGAUGUUAGAGCCCCAGAGAGGGGCAAUGGAAGUUUGCCCCUUGGAAGUUUGGGUGGAGCCAGCUGGGGCUCAUCUCUGGGCUUCCACUUAGCCCUCACUACUCACAGAGUGGUCACCUGACCAGCAGCGUCAGUGCCACCUGGGAGCCUCCUACAAAUGCAGACUCUCAGGCCCACCUGGGCCUACAGAACCAGGAUCUGCAUGUUAUCAGUUUGAUCCCAGGGGACUCUAUGCACCUGGAAGUUCUGUGUUCCUGAAGGAAAUGGUCAGCAAAUCAAGGUGCUGUUCCUCAUCCUGUAGAGAAGCUUUUUCUUCUUGAGAACUUCCAUGUGAGGCACUUUUGAGGAGGUUCCCUGCAAACUUUGACAUUCAAGUUCUUCAUGUCUUUUCAUUACAAACCAUUUGUGUUAGACCUGAGGAUUUCAUAGCUACUUAAUUACAGAGACACAUGCCUGCUGCUAAUGAGAAAAAUAAACAUGAUCCCAUUCAGGGGGUUUAUUAAUUCAUUCUUGAUCCUUUUCACAGA